AAAGGGGCUCAGUUGUUUGAAAUUUCCCCACCAUUAUUUUCGUCCAACUAUUUAGGGUUUAGGGUUGGAGAGCAGAAGAGGAACAGGAAGUGGAAGAGGAGAGGAUAGCGAUUGAUCGAAGACCAUGAGCUCCCCGAUGCCGCGAAGUUCCAAGCCAACGCGGCUGUCUCCCUUCUUCCGCGAUCUCGCCUCGCCGAUCUCCCCUCACCACCGCCCCGUCGGUCGCUUCGCCACCCCCGGCCAAGCCGCCGCCGUCUCCGCCCUCUGGAAGGAGAACCUCGCCGGAUCAUCCGCGGAUCCCCCUCCGCCUCCCGUCUUCACCCUCGAUGACCGCGCUGAUCUCUCGCCGGAGGUCGGCCUCGGCGAGCUGCCGCCGCCCUCGCCGGUGUCCCCGACCAGCACCCGGAGCCGGACGCCUCCCCCCCGGCCGAAUCAGAAGGGAUAUCCCUCCCCUUCUCCGUCCCUCUCGUCGUCUUCCUUCGUCUUGAGAACCAGGGCUGAGGUGAUUGGUUCUGGCGUCGCUAACGGCCGAGGGCAGAGCCCUGAGGGUUCCAUCUGGAUGGCCUCGCCGAAGGCCGACGGAGGAGAGCGAGAGAUGGGCCAGGGUUCUCCGGUGGAUGGGGUUGUCGAGUCCGGUGCGUUGAUGGUACUCCCACCCCCGCUAUCGAGAGAGAUCGCGAGGCCAGAGCCACAAGGAUAUGGCGUGCAGAAUGGAGGGCUUGAUGCAGACGAGUGGGUUACUGUUUUUGGAUUUUCCCCUGAUCACACCAACUUGGUGCUACGUGAGUUUGAAAAAUGUGGUGUCAUAGUAAAACAUGUACCUGGACCAAGUGAUGCUAACUGGAUACACAUUUUGUACCAGAACCCGUAUGAUGCUCAAAAGGCUCUCAAGAAAAAUGGUAUGCGGCUAAACAGUCUGUUGAUUGUUGGGGUGAAACCUGUAGAUCCAGUGCAUCGUCAGCUUCUUAAGGAAAAAAUAAACAGAAGCAAUCAUGGAGGCUUCAUGGUUUCAUUACCCUCAAAAUCAGCUGCUUUAAAUAGCUCAGCAACUUCUAAUUCAUCAGGAAUCGUUGCUCGCUCCUAUCAACCAAAGACCAGCUCAAAUGUCACUACUGGUAGCUUCAACCGAGCAACAGGAUCUAUUGCAACUCCAGCAAAAUCAGUUGUAUCAAAAGUCAUGGACCUGAUGUUUGGGAUAUAAAUUGGACUUGGAUGAACAUCUAUCUACAUUGAUUACUUUGGCUCUUAAGCCUUUCUUUUCCUCUUUGAAGUUCUGUUGUAGAUGUUCUUUCCAUGUAUCUGAUGUAGUAGUCUGAUGUCAUUUCACCGGAAUUUGUUUCAUAGGACUGACUGCCUAGGAAUGGCUGAGGGUAACAAAAGCAAUUUGAUCAUGGACAGGAUUUGAAGUACUGGUAAUGCGUCUUGAUGUAAAAUUGAUACUCGACGAUCAUUCAGAAGAAGGAUCUCACAUUUCCAUGCAUCAGAAGGUACGUCACCGGUUGAUUACUGCAUGAAACAGUGCAUCGAUGCUGUGGCAUCUUAUGAGAGAACUCUUGGUUGCAAGGAAAAGCUAGCUCAACUGAUCUCAUCUUUACAUCAAUGUUUGUGCUUAUCGUGCAUCAUGGCUCUGCAGUUCUCAUGUAAAAUCUCAGCAACUUCAAUUUGACGAAUGUGUACAUUCUGAAAGAUCAUCAUUAUUUCCGGUCUCCGAGGCCCAUUGACAAGAUUCUUCA